UGUUCUAUGUGCUUCAGUCUCAAUAUAUCAAAUAUUUGUUGAAACGAGCCUAGUGUCGGCGUUCUGUAAAUGGAGUAAUGUACAUUAGUACAGUAACGUUGUAAUUCUCUAAUGUACGGCGCAUAUCACAAAUGCAAUGUUGUUAAUGCACGAUAAUAACACGAUUAAAUUAGUUGCAUACAUAAAUGCGUCAUAAAUGCGAUUGGUUUUAUCAAAUAUUUGAUAAGCGAAUGCUUUACUUGGUAUCGAUUCGAACGAUGUCACUUAAACUUAAUACAUGUAUUAUUUUAGCAUGCAUUAUCUCUUAUAUGUCAACGUUGGUUGUGCUUUUAUCAUUGCAAUUUAAGAGGAACAAUUAUCGAAUAACGAAAAGCUUGGUAUCCUUUUAAAACGCGCGAAAAAGCACCUUUGUAAGGCUUUACGCAAAGGAAACAACUACAAGCGUAUGACGGAUUUUAGUUAAGAGAUACUUAAUUACCGUAGGUGGCGGAACACACGACCAUGACACGAACAAAAGCUAGGAUUAUGUACGCCAACGGCAGGAUAAAGAGAUUAUAAAUACGUCUCUUGCUUAUGUAUACUCGCUUUUUUAAUUACCAUGCGUGUGAGAUCUUAAUUGUAGUUAUAUCGAUUUCUGUCAGUGGACACUUAUUGAAAUAAUAGCGAAUGGCGAGACGAUUUUCUCUUUGUUGAUUGUUAAGCAAGCUUUGAGAAACACGUGAUUGAAAGCUUGUGAUAGUUUAUUUACGAUCGCAUUCAGUUGGUCGUGUGUGAAUUGCCGAUGUGAAAUUGGGCAAUUUGUAUACGGAUCUCCCACGCACACCCACGUGGAAGUAAAAGAAUCAUUUAAAGUUCGAAUUAACAAGCAUUAUAACGAGCAUAAAUUACAAAUAGAUUUAUGGAUAAUU